CACGUAGGGCGCGAGCGUUGUCCGGAAUUAUUGGGCGUAAAGAGCUCGUAGGCGGCCUGUUGCGUCCGCUGUGAAAGCCCGGGGCUUAACCCCGGGUCGGCAGUGGAUACGGGCAGGCUAGAGGUAGGUAGGGGAGACUGGAAUUCCUGGUGUAGCGGUGAAAUGCGCAGAUAUCAGGAGGAACACCGGUGGCGAAGGCGGCUGUCUGGUCCAGUUCUGACGCUGAGGCGCGAAAGCGUGGGGAGCAAACAGG
rnacentral:rRNA from 1 species